GACAGAGGUGCCAAGCGUUAGGCGGAAUCACUGGGCUUAAAGCGUGUGUAGGCGGGCCGUUAAGUGUUUUGUGAAAUCCCCCGGCUCAACCGGGGAACUGCUUGACAUACUGGCGGUCUUGAGCCACCCAGGGGCGAGCGGAACAGAUGGUGGAGCGGUGAAAUGCGUAGAUAUCAUCUGGAACGCCAAAGGUGAAAACAGCUCGCUGGGGGUGUGCUGACGCUGAGACACGAAAGCCAGGGGAG
rnacentral:rRNA from 1 species